rnacentral:rRNA from 1 species
GUGGGGAAUUUUGGACAAUGGGCGCAAGCCUGAUCCAGCAAUGCCGCGUGCAGGAAGAAGGCCUUCGGGUUGUAAACUGCUUUUGUACGGAACGAAACGGUCCUGGUUAAUACCUGGGGCUAAUGACGGUACCGUAAGAAUAAGCACCGGCUAACUACGUGCCAGCAGCCGCGGUAAUACGUAGGGUGCGAGCGUUAAUCGGAAUUACUGGGCGUAAAGCGUGCGCAGGCGGUGCUGUAAGACAGGCGUGAAAUCCCCGGGCUCAACCUGGGAAUGGCGCUUGUGACUGCAAGGCUGGAGUGCGGCAGAGGGGGAUGGAAUUCCGCGUGUAGCAGUGAAAUGCGUAGAUAUGCGGAGGAACACCGAUGGCGAAGGCAAUCCCCUGGGCCUGCACUGACGCUCAUGCACGAAAGCGUGGGGAGCAAACAGGAUUAGAAACCCUGGUAGUCC